rnacentral:rRNA from 1 species
CCAAUAGCGUAUAUUAAAGUUGUUGCAGUUAAAAAGCUCGUAGUUGAAUUUCGGGGUCUGUCCGUCGGUCGGGCCUCACGGUCCGUACUGGUGUGAUGGGUUCCUACCUUCUGAAUAACCGGCAUGCCAUUCAGUUGGUGCGCCGGGGAAGCAGAGCUAUUACCUUGAAAAAAUUAGAGUGCUUAAAGCAGGCUAGUGCUUGAAUAGAUUAGCAUGGAAUAAUAAAAUAGGACGGCAUGGUUCUAUUUUGUUGGUUUCUAGGAUCACCGUAAUGAUUAAUAGGGAUAGUUGGGGGCAUUAGUAUUCAAUUGUCAGAGGUGAAAUUCUUGGAUUUAUUGAAGACUAACUUCUGCGAAAGCAUUUGCCAAGGAUGUUUUCAUUAAUCAAGAACGAAAGUUAGGGGAUCGAAGACGAUCAGAUACCGUCGUAAUCUUAACCAUAAACUAUGCCGACUAGGGAUCGGGCGAUGUUAAUUUUUUAAUGACUCGUUCGGCGCCUUACG